AUUGAACGCUGGCAGCAGGCCUAACACAUGCAAGUCGAGCGGAUGAAGGGUGCUUGCUCCUGGUUUCAGCGUCGGACGGGUGAGUAAUGCCUAUGAAUCUGCCUGGUAGGGGUGUAUGACGUCCUGAAACGGGCGCUAAUACUGCAGACGUCCUGAGGGAGAAAGUGGGGGGGCUUCGGACCGCACGCUAGCAGGUGAGCCUAGGUCGGAUUAGCUAGUUGGUGGGGUAAAGGCCUACCAAGGCGACGAUCCGUAACUGGUCUGAGAGGAUGAUCAGUCACAUUGGAACUGAGACACGGUCCAGACUCCUACGGGAGGCAGCAGUGGGGAAUAUUGGACAAUGGGCGAAAGCCUGAUCCAGCCAUGCCGAGUGUGUGAAGAAGGUCUUCGGAUUGUAAAGCACUUUAAGUUGGGAGGAAGGGCAGUAAGUUAAUACCUUGCUGUUUUGACGUUACCAACAGAAUAAGCACCGGCUAACUUCGUG
rnacentral:rRNA from 1 species